AUGCCUUCAAAUAUUAUCAUUCCUUGUCUUCUUUUUGCUCUUGCACACGUUUGUUUGUUUCGGAAGCACCUGUCCUCUGCAAAGAGUAACUUUGUUAGUUACUCCUCACCUGCUGUGACUGGUGCUGUGGUUGGAAAAACAUGUGCAGGUUUCUUGAAAGCUGGUUGCUGUUGGAACUUGGAACAUGUUUGGGAGGGGACAUGCCGUGCUAACUUUAAAAGCUGCUUUGUGUGUAGAAGAGUUACACGAGGAGAUUUGUUUUCUUUACUCUUGACAAGGCGGCCAAGUGGGCGAAUGGAGUGCAUAUCGUAUCCUGUUGAUGUGCCUGUGAUCGUAUAA
rnacentral:rRNA from 1 species